AGAGUUUGAUCCUGGCUCAGGACGAACGCUGGCGGCGUGCUUAACACAUGCAAGUCGAGCGGAAAGGCCCUUCGGGGUACUCGAGCGGCGAACGGGUGAGUAACACGUGAGGAACCUGCCCCUAACUCUGGGAUAGCUUCGGGAAACCGGAAUUAAUACCGGAUACGACCAAGGUUGGCAUCGACCGAGGUGGAAAGAUU
rnacentral:rRNA from 1 species